GCUUAGUUAGUUCAGUGGUUAGAAUGGUACAUAAUUUUUUUUUAUGUUAGUAAUGCAGGUUCGGUUCCUGUACUGGGCC